rnacentral:tRNA from 1 species
GGGAAAGUGGCUCAGUGGUAGAGUGCUUGCCUUGCAUGCAUGAAGCCCUAGGUUCGAUUCCUCAGCACCA